CAUCCAGAGAAUUUAGCAGAGAUGCUUUAGUGCCUUCGGGAACUCUGAGACAGGUGCUGCAUGGCUGUCGUCAGCUCGUGUUGUGAAAUGUUGGGUUAAGUCCCGCAACGAGCGCAACCCUUAUCCUUUGUUGCCAGCGCGUAAUGGCGGGAAACUCAAAGGAGACUGCCGGUGAUAAACCGGAGGAAGGUGGGGAUGACGUCAAGUCAUCAUGGCCCUUACGAGUAGGGCUACACACGUGCUACAAUGGCGCAUACAAAGAGAAGCGACCUCGCGAGAGCAAGCGGACCUCAUAAAGUGCGUCGUAGUCCGGAUUGGAGUCUGCAACUCGACUCCAUGAAGUCGGAAUCGCUAGUAAUCGUAAAUCAGAAUGUUACGGUGAAUACGUUCCCGGGCCUUGUACACACCGCCCGUCACACCAUGGGAGUGGGUUGCAAAAGAAGUAGAUAGCUUAACCUUCGGGAGGGCGUUUACCACUUUGUGAUUCAUGACUGGGGUGAAGUCGUAACAAGGUAAGCGUAGCGAG
rnacentral:rRNA from 1 species